GACGAACGCUGGCGGCGUGCCUAAUACAUGCAAGUUGAGCGCUGAAGGUUGGUACUUGUACCAACUGGAUGAGCAGCGAACGGGUGAGUAACGCGUGGGGAAUCUGCCUUUGAGCGGGGGACAACAUUUGGAAACGAAUGCUAAUACCGCAUAAAAACUUUAAACACAAGUUUUAAGUUUGAAAGAUGCAAUUGCAUCACUCAAAGAUGAUCCCGCGUUGUAUUAGCUAGUUGGUGAGGUAAAGGCUCACCAAGGCGAUGAUACAUAGCCGACCUGAGAGGGUGAUCGGCCACCUUGGGACUGAGACACGGCCCAAACUCCUACGGGAGGCAGCAGGAGGGAAUCUUCGGCAAUGGACGAAAGUCUGACCGAGCAACGCCGCGUGAGUGAAGAAGGUUUUCGGAUCGUAAAACUCUGUUGGUAGAGAAGAACGUUGGUGAGAGUGGAAAGCUCAUCAAGUGACGGUAACUACUCAGAAAGGGACGGCUAACUACGUG
rnacentral:rRNA from 1 species